rnacentral:misc_RNA from 1 species
CGCAUCGAUAAAAUAUAGAAAAGCUAUAGGCCUACAUUUACGUAAUGUAAACGAGCGAGCUUCCUUCCGAAGGCAACUCGAUACCCCCAUAAAGGACACGUUAUACAGUUGUAAGCACACGAUACCAGUUGACCUUCCUUCGUAGCCAUGACGACGAGAUGUUCCUAAAACUGCAAAUGGUGUCAAUAAUCCUUCGAUUAAUAGAACAACCGUGAAAAACUAAUCAAACCAAACAACGGGAGGGAAAUCUUAUUCAACGUGCCACAUGCCAACUCGGCAAAAUAACAACGCAUGCGUACCACGUGGUUAAACAUUUGUCGGAUUGGUAUAAGAUGGCCCAGCUUCCGACAUGAAUCCAAUUCGAAUUAUUUAUGGAAGAGGAGUAGGUUUCCUCGAAUCAUUCCCAGAAUGGCGGUCGAAUGGGGAUACGAUCAGCAUAAUGGACCCCACCUGUGGUGUAAAUAUUAUCCGAGCGCUAAUGGAACACAGCAAUCGCCAAUCAAUAUCGACACGACAUCCAUUAUGACAGAUGAACAAUUGCUUCGUUAUAAAUUGACUUGGAAUUAUGAAUCUGAUAUUUGUACCGCUUUACACAAUACGGGUAACGGAUGGCAAGUUGACGUGGAUGCCAAAGGAUGUUUGGAGGGAGGCCCAUUACAACAUAAUUAUCGUUUACAACAAUUUCACUGCCAUUGGGGAGACAACAGCUCUUACGGAUCAGAACACACCGUAGACGGAAAAACUUAUUCUGGUGAAAUUCAUCUUGUCCAUUGGAAUGCUGAUUUAUUUGAAAAUUUCAAAGAAGCUGCUCGUUGUAAUGGAGGAUUAGCUGUUCUGGGCGUUUUUCUUCAAUUAGGAGAAGAGAAUUCAGAAUUAAACAAACUAACAAAAUUGAUGCCUAAUAUUGCUUAUAAAGCAGAUAAGACUCCUAUAGAAGAAAAAAUUAAUCUUACAGCAUUUUUACCAAAAAACAAAACGUUUUGGACCUAUGAAGGAUCUCUUACUACACCACCCUGUUAUGAAAGCGUUACCUGGAUAGUUUUCAGAGAACCUAUUCAAAUAUCUGAACAACAGCACUCAACCAUCUCACGUUUUCAAAAAUUUUUAGAGAAGACAGAUUAGUGUCAGUUAACAUAUACUGAUAGUGAAAAAAGCGUGUAUAACAACCCAGAAUUUAUAUAGGCUAACAUUGUCUCGAAGAAUUUCGGAAAUUGCAUCGUAAACCACAACAGACCAAUUCAGAAAAUGCCAAUAAAGAAUCACCCGAAUGCAUUAGGAAGAAUUACAGGCCGACUCAAAUACUUCAUAACCGUCUUGUUCGUGA